GGGGAGAUUCCAGAGUGGCUAAAUGGGACUGACUGUAACUCAGUUGCUUCGGCUUCGUAGGUUCGAAUCCUGCUCUCCCCACUA
rnacentral:tRNA from 6 species